rnacentral:rRNA from 1 species
UACGUAGGGGGCAAGCGUUGUCCGGAAUCAUUGGGCGUAAAGCGCGUGUAGGCGGCUUCGUAAGUCCGUUGUGAAAGUCCAGGGCUCAACCCUGGAAUGCCGAUGGAUACUGCGGAGCUAGAGUACGGAAGAGGCGAGUGGAAUUCCUGGUGUAGCGGUGAAAUGCGCAGAUAUCAGGAGGAACACCAAUGGCGAAGGCAGCUCGCUGGGACGGUACUGACGCUGAGACGCGAAAGCGUGGGGAGCAAACAGG